CGCGGGGUGGAGCAGCCUGGUAGCUCGUCGGGCUCAUAACCCGAAGGUCGUCGGUUCAAAUCCGGCCCCCGCGC
rnacentral:tRNA from 1 species